rnacentral:lncRNA from 10 species
UUUCUAACAAUGGCAUCUAAGAGUGGAAAGUUUAACUGCCUUUAGGAAUUUCUGGAGAGGUAACCUGGGGUCUCCCCAAGCUUCCUGCAGCCCAACCAACCAACCCACCAACCUGGCUGAUGCAUAUGUGGAAUAUCGGCUUCCUGUUCUCUGAAGGGCAAAAAGGACACUGAAGUAUAGCCUACAGGCUCUGCGGCCCAAAGCUCAUUAAGAAGAUAAUAGAUUUAGGCCAGCCGCAGUGGCUCACGCCUGUAAUCCUAGCAUUUUAGGAGGCCUAGGUGGGUGGAUUGCCUGAGCUCAGGAGUUCGAGAUCAGCCUGGGCAACAUGGUGAAACCUCGUCUCUACUGAAAUACAAAAAAUUAGCCAGGCCUGAUGGUGUACGCCUGUAGUUCUAGCUACUCGGGGGGCUGAGGCAGGAGAAUUGCUUGAACUGGGGAGACGGAGGUUUCAGUGAGCUGAGACUGCAUCACUGCACUCCAGCCUGGGUGACAGAGCAAGACUCUGUCUCAAAAAAAAAAAAAAAAAAAAGAAGAAGAAGAUAAUAGAUUUAGAAGACACACAAAUAAUUGUUUAAAAGAAUGGCCCUAAUGUGCUGCAGUCUGAGGUGGAAGGUUAGUAAGGUCUGGACUUCCUCGGAAUAUGACUGAGUUUUCAGAUCACGUGAGACGUCUUCAUGGAAGACAUUGAGGUAGUUACCACAUCUUCUGGAUGUCCCACAGCCAACAGCAUAUCAAUUUGGGUGAGUUUUAAAGAUUUGGCCCUGAUAAUGGCACCCUGACUUGAAGUCCCUGAGAACCCAGGGAUAUUUAGGAAGGUCAUAUGACUUCCAAAGGGUCCCUGAUUGAAUGCUUUCUCUCCUAAUCAUGGGGAAGAGGGUGGCACAGCAUGGGGCUAAAUCCUCACUCCAUCCUUACUCAUGUUCAAACAAUCCCAGACUUACUGAUCCAUGAAAUGUGUCUCAGGUGUGUCUGUGGUUUCUGGGUUAGGAAGUAAAUGGACUUUUGCAAUUCUUUCUUAUAUAAAUAGGAAAACUGAGAUUUAGAAAAGUUGUGACAUGCCCAAGAUUGUGACAAAGCCAAAUAAGAACUUGGUUCUCUGAACUUUCAGGCUCCUUCAGACAUUAAAAGCAGGAAUUGGAUUAGUGUAGCUGCCGGAGGUUUCCCACUGUCUCCACUCCCAGUUUCCACGUGCAUUUCCUCUGGUGCUCAUCAAGUGUACAGUGCUGCUGUGGUGAGAAUUUGUCAAAUGAGUCUCCAGUCUCAGAAGGUCUAUGUAAAUGGGGUUUCAAGUCAUCACAGGGACUGAAUUUAGUCUCAAGUACCAUAAAGAAAAUACUUUUAAAGCUCUUCUAAAAAUAAAG